GACAGAGGUGCCGAGCGUUAGGCGGAAUCACUGGGCUUAAAGCGUGUGUAGGCGGAUCCGUAAGUACCUUGUGAAAUCCCACGGCUCAACCGUGGAACUGCUUGGUAUACUGCGGGUCUUGAGCCACCUAGGGGCGAGCGGAACAAGUGGUGGAGCGGUGAAAUGCGUAGAGAUCGGAAAGAACACCAACGGCGAAAGCACUCUGCUGGGCCGACACUGACACUGAGAGACGAAAGCUAGGGGAGCGAAUGGG
rnacentral:rRNA from 1 species